UCCGAUGACGUAGGUUAACCAAAGGGUU
rnacentral:piRNA from 1 species